rnacentral:rRNA from 1 species
UACGGAGGGGGCUAGCGUUGUUCGGAAUUACUGGGCGUAAAGCGCCCGUAGGCGGCUUUGUAAGUUAGAGGUGAAAGCCCGGAGCUCAACUCCGGAAUUGCCUUUAAGACUGCAUCGCUAGAAUUGUGGAGAGGUGAGUGGAAUUCCGAGUGUAGAGGUGAAAUUCGUAGAUAUUCGGAAGAACACCAGUGGCGAAGGCGACUCACUGGACACAUAUUGACGCUGAGGUGCGAAAGCGUGGGGAGCAAACAGG